rnacentral:rRNA from 1 species
GACGAACGCUGGCGGCGUGCUUAACACAUGCAAGUCGAACGCUGAAGCUCAGCUUUUGUUGGGUGGAUGAGUGGCGAACGGGUGAGUAACACGUGAGUAACCUGCCUCCUUCUUUGGGAUAACGCCCGGAAACGGGUGCUAAUACUGGAUAUUCACUGGUCUUCGCAUGGGGGUUGGUGGAAAGGGUUUUUCUGGUGGGGGAUGGGCUCGCGGCCUAUCAGCUUGUUGGUGGGGUGAUGGCCUACCAAGGCUUUGACGGGUAGCCGGCCUGAGAGGGUGACCGGUCACAUUGGGACUGAGGUACGGCCCAGACUCCUACGGGAGGCAGCAGUGGGGAAUAUUGCACAAUGGGCGCAAGCCUGAUGCAGCGACGCCGCGUGAGGGAUGGAGGCCUUCGGGUUGUGAACCUCUUUCGCUCAUGGUCAAGCCGCAACAAUGGUUGUGGUGAGGGUAGUGGGUAAAGAAGCGCCGGCUAACUACGUG